CGGACGGUUACCCUGCCUGAGACCUAGCAACCGUCGGGUGGCUUCCUCCUGCUUUCGAGGCCGGUCGAAGACGAGGCGGAACUCUCCCAGGAAGCGUUCGAAAGGGAGAUGCGAGAUAGGAUGGGAGGCCAGGAAAGCUUGAGCCCAUUGCAGCGCCUUACUACGGAGAGAGUUCACGAUUAGUGAGAUACGAGUGUGAUCGGCUUGAUAAUACCUGGGGGCUUGUUGGAAAAUCAGUUCACAUUGCAGAAGGAACCCUCCGCAGGAUGAAACAUCCCCGAAAAAAGGUUCCGGCUGUAGUCGAACAUUUUCCGGGAUGAGGGUGGAAGCGGAUGUAGCGUUGUUGCCGGAAAUAGGAGGCGGAGCAGAGACUGUGGGCCUUGAAGUUUGACCAGAAAAUUCAUUAAGAGUCCGAGUGAUACCGUUGAUGCGAGAAACCAGAUCCUCUUGUACAGACGUAAUACGAGUCUUGACAGGUUUAUCUCUAGUCAAAGAGCUAAGGCUAGCUGGAGAAAUCUUGAGGAGGAAUUUCCUUGAGGGAGUUCUGCGGCGUGGGCGAGGCUUGAACCAUGGCGAGGAGAGGCGGCUGGCUGGAGGUUUCUUGAGGCGGAUAGACAGCAGCGUAGGAGGACAGCGACCAGGAGGAACAACGAACUGGCACCGGCUGAUGAUCCAGGAGGAGCUUAUGAAGGAAGGUGUAGAUGAGGUGAGUGAAUCCAGCUGGUCGCGUCCAACACAGGAAGGAGGGGGGAGGAGGGAGUAGCUGCCAGGCCAU